rnacentral:rRNA from 1 species
AUUGAACGCUGGCGGCAGGGAGAACACAGGCAAGUCGAGCGGAUGAAGGGAGCUUGCUCCUGGAUUCAGCGGCGGACGGGUGAGUAAUGCCUAGGAAUCUGCCUGGUAGUGGGGGAUAACGUCCGGAAACGGGCGCUAAUACCGCAUACGUCCUGAGGGAGAAAGUGGGGGAUCUUCGGACCUCACGCUAUCAGAUGCGCCUAGGUCGGAUUAGCUAGUUGGUGGGGUAAAGGCCUACCAAGGCGACGAUCCGUAACUGGUCUGAGAGGAUGAUCAGUCACACUGGAACUGAGACACGGUCCAGACUCCUACGGGAGGCAGCAGUGGGGAAUAUUGGACAAUGGGCGAAAGCCUGAUCCAGCCAUGCCGCGUGUGUGAAGAAGGUCUUCGGAUUGUAAAGCACUUUAAGUUGGGAGGAAGGGCAGUAAGUUAAUACCUUGCUGUUUUGACGUUACCAACAGAAUAAGCACCGGCUAACUUCGUG